rnacentral:tRNA from 1 species
GUUGAUAUAGCUCAGUUGGUAGAGCACAUUCUUGGUAAGAAUGUGGUCGGCAGUUCAAAUCUGCCUAUCAGCA